GUUGUCUUAAGAAAUUAAUGAAUUCAAAGGCAAAGUACCAGGGAGAGAAAAGAAGGCUCUCUUAAUGCAUGACAGAAUUGCCCACAGUGGCCUCUCUGUUCCUGGGAGUGCAACAUCU
ensembl:snoRNA